GUCCCAAAAUAUAAACAAUGACCUUGCAAAAUCUUCACCCUUGUCUAAGAAAAGCCUAGAUGGUUCCUCUUUAUCUCUCUUGCCCCUCUUGUUAUCUCCUCCACUUUACUUCUUCUGCAUGAGCCACACCCACUUCUUCACCAAAUGGGGUGGCUGCAAUCCCUUGUCUCUCCACUGAAGAAGUUCUGGCUCCGCUUGAAUUCAACUCAAAAGAAGAGAAGAGGGAUUUACAUUCUGUAUGAAGAUGUCAAGUCUUGCCCCUAUGAAGACGUGCACGUCCUCUGGUCAAUACUAGUGGAAUCACAUUCACCUUCUUUGCCAUCCAAAAAAUGAAGGCCUUGGGCACAAUACAGACUUGAGCAGUGGCUACUAAUAAUGUACAUAAAAAUAUAUAUUUAUAAUGCCCAUACCAUAGAGUGUUUUAUCUUACUUUUACUUUUUUUUUUCUUUUUUAACUUUUGUAGCACCAGAGCAUAUAGAGUGACACUAAGUUUUUGCUUUUGAAGCACCUUCGAAGACGUUCUUAUAUAAUAAUCCAUUAUUCCAUUUAUCUUUA